rnacentral:rRNA from 1 species
AAUCAACGCUGGCGGCGUGCCUAACACAUGCAAGUCGAACGCGAAAGUCCCGCAAGGGAUGAGUAGAGUGGCAAACGGGUGAGUAACACGUGGGUGACCUGCCUUCGAGUGGGGGAUAACGUCCCGAAAGGGACGCUAAUACCGCAUAACAUCCCGCCUUUUAAGAGGUGGACAUCAAAGCUUGGGACCGCAAGGCCAGGCGCUUGAAGAGGGGCCCGCGCCUGAUUAGCUAGUUGGUGGGGUAACGGCUCACCAAGGCAACGAUCAGUAUCCGGCCUGAGAGGGCGGACGGACACACUGGGACUGAGACACGGCCCAGACUCCUACGGGAGGCAGCAGUGGGGAAUUGUUCGCAAUGGGCGCAAGCCUGACGACGCAACGCCGCGUGGAGGAUGAAGACCUUCGGGUCGUAAACUCCUUUCGAUCGAGACGAAUGGCCUCUGGGUUAACAGCCUGGAGGAGUGACGGUACCGAGAGAAGAAGCCCCGGCUAACUCCGUGCCAGCAGCCGGGGUAAUACGGGGGGGGCAAGCGUUGUUCGGAAUUACUGGGCGUAAAGGGCUCGUAGGUGGCCAACUAAGUCAGACGUGAAAUCCCUCGGCUUAACCGGGGAACUGCGUCUGAUACUGGAUGGCU